UACAGAGGUGGCAAGCGUUGUUCGGAAUUACUGGGCGUAAAGGGCGUGUAGGCGGUCUUCUAAGUCAGACGUGAAAUCCCCCGGCUUAACCUGGGAACUGCGUCUGAUACUGGGAGGCUUGAGUAUGGGAGAGGGAUGUAGAAUUCCAGGUGUAGCGGUGAAAUGCGUAGAUAUCUGGAGGAACACCGGUGGCGAAGGCGACAUCCUGGACCGGUAUUGACGCUGAGGCGCGAAAGCCAGGGGAGCAAACGGG
rnacentral:rRNA from 1 species